rnacentral:rRNA from 1 species
UCGUCGUGUGCGCCCCGUCGCCCGAACGCGCUCCU